rnacentral:rRNA from 2 species
UACGGAGGGUCCAAGCGUUAUCCGGAAUCAUUGGGUUUAAAGGGUGCGCAGGCGGUAAAGUAAGUCAGUGGUGAAAUCUCUCGGCUCAACCGAGAAACUGCCAUUGAUACUGCUAUACUUGAAUAUAGUUGAAGUAGGCGGAAUGUGUAGUGUAGCGGUGAAAUGCUUAGAUAUUACACAGAACACCGAUAGCGAAGGCAGCUUACUAAACUAAUAUUGACGCUCAUGCACGAAAGCGUGGGGAGCGAACAGG